ACAUGGCUCGUCUGCCACAUCCUCCGGUGUUGUGCACGGAGUCCCCCCCACCAGCGACGGGACGGCGCCCCCAGGCUGCGGCUCGCUGACUGUGGCCAGGUGUGUGCCAGGCGGCCCGGAAAGGUCUCUUCCUGCCAUCUUGGGGCAGCUGGGUCUCCGCACAGGGAUGUGUCCGGGUGCCGUGACACCAGCCGCCGGAGCAGGCUGUCCCCGAGCCCUCUCCCGGGGAGGGAUUCGUGCCCACCCCAUAGUCCGUAGCCAUU
rnacentral:lncRNA from 1 species